rnacentral:rRNA from 1 species
UAAUACGUAGGAGGCGAGCGUUGUCCGGAUUUACUGGGCGUAAAGCGCGCGCAGGCGGCCAUGUAAGUACGUUGUGAAAUCUCCCUGCUCAACGGGGAGGGUGCUGCGUAAACUGCACGGCUUGAGGACGGUAGAGGGGGGUGGAAUUGCUGGUGUAGCGGUGAAAUGCGUAGAGAUCAGCAGGAACACCCGUGGCGAAGGCGGCCCCCUGGGCCGAACCUGACGCUGAGGCGCGAAGGCUAGGGGAGCGAACGGGAUUAGAUACCCCGGUAGUCCUAGCAGUAAACGAUGGCCACUAGGUGUGGGGGGUGUUGACCCCUUCCGUGCCGAAGCUAACGCAUUAAGUGGCCCGCCUGGGGAGUACGGUCGCAAGACUA